rnacentral:rRNA from 1 species
AACGAACGCUGGCGGCAUGCCUAAUACAUGCAAGUCGAACGAGAUCUUCGGAUCUAGUGGCGCACGGGUGCGUAACGCGUGGGAAUCUGCCCUUGGGUUCGGAAUAACAGCGGGAAACUGCUGCUAAUACCGGAUGAUGACGUAAGUCCAAAGAUUUAUCGCCCAGGGAUGAGCCCGCGUAGGAUUAGGUAGUUGGUGGGGCAAAGGCCUACCAAGCCUACGAUCCUUAGCUGGUCUGAGAGGAUGAUCAGCCACACUGGGACUGAGACACGGCCCAGACUCCUACGGGAGGCAGCAGUAGGGAAUAUUGGACAAUGGGGGCAACCCUGAUCCAGCAAUGCCGCGUGAGUGAUGGAGGCCUUAGGGUUGUAAAGCUCUUUUACCCGGGAUGAUAAUGACAGUACCGGGAGAAUAAGCCCCGGCUAACUCCGUGCCAGCCGCCGCGGUAA